rnacentral:rRNA from 1 species
CCUACGGUGGCUGCAGUGGGGAAUAUUGGACAAUGGGCGAAAGCCUGAUCCAGCCAUGCCGCGUGUGUGAAGAAGGCCUUCGGGUUGUAAAGCACUUUCAGUGGGGAAGAAAGCCUUGGGGCUAAUACCCUCGAGGAAGGACAUCACCCACAGAAGAAGCACCGGCUAACUCCGUGCCAGCAGCCGCGGUAAUACGGAGGGUGCGAGCGUUAAUCGGAAUUACUGGGCGUAAAGCGCGCGUAGGCGGUCUGAUAAGCCGGUUGUGAAAGCCCCGGGCUCAACCUGGGAACGGCAUCCGGAACUGUCAGGCUAGAGUGCAGGAGAGGAAGGUAGAAUUCCCGGUGUAGCGGUGAAAUGCGUAGAGAUCGGGAGGAAUACCAGUGGCGAAGGCGGCCUUCUGGACUGACACUGACGCUGAGGUGCGAAAGCGUGGGUAGCAAACAGGAUUAGAUACCCUAGUAGUC